rnacentral:rRNA from 1 species
UAGUCCACGCCGUAAACGAUGUCUACUAGCCGUUGGGAGUCUUGAAUUCUUAGUGGCGCAGCUAACGCGAUAAGUAGACCGCCUGGGGAGUACGGCCGCAAGGUUAAAACUCAAAUGAAUUGACGGGGGCCCGCACAAGCGGUGGAGCAUGUGGUUUAAUUCGAUGCAACGCGAAGAACCUUACCAAGACUUGACAUCCAGAGAACUUACCAGAGAUGGUUUGGUGCCUUCGGGAACUCUGUGACAGGUGCUGCAUGGCUGUCGUCAGCUCGUGUUGUGAAAUGUUGGGUUAAGUCCCGUAACGAGCGCAACCCUUGUCCUUAGUUGCUAGCAGGUAGUGGUGGGAACUCUAAGGAGACCGCCGGUGAUAAACCGAAGGAAGGUGGGGAUGACGUCAAGUCAUCAUGGCCCUUAUGGGGCAGGGGCUACACACGUGCUACAAUGGGCCGGUACAGAGGGGUUGCCAACCCGCAAGGGGGGAGCUAAUCCCCAGAAAGCUGGGUCGUAGUCCGGGAUUGGGAGUCUGGCAAC